rnacentral:pre_miRNA from 1 species
CUUAUACUUCCUCCGUUCGGAAUUACUUGUCGCAAAAAUGGAUGUAUCUAGAUGUAUUUUAGUUCUAGAUACAUCCAUUUUUAAGACAAGUAAUUUCGAACGGAGGGAGUAGCUU